rnacentral:rRNA from 1 species
GUGGGGAAUCUUCCACAAUGGACGAAAGUCUGAUGGAGCAACGCCGCGUGAGUGAAGAAGGGUUUCGGCUCGUAAAGCUCUGUUGUCGGGGACGAAUGUGCAGUAUUUGAAUAAAGUACUGUAAUGACGGUACCUGACGAGGAAGCCACGGCUAACUACGUGCCAGCAGCCGCGGUAAUACGUAGGUGGCAAGCGUUGUCCGGAAUUAUUGGGCGGAAAGGGAGCGCAGGCGGGAAGGUAAGUCGGUCUUAAAAGUGCGGGGCUCAACCCCGUGAUGGGAUCGAAACUAUCUUUCUUGAGUGCAGGAGAGGAAAGUGGAAUUCCUAGUGUAGCGGUGAAAUGCGUAGAUAUUAGGAGGAACACCAGUGGCGAAGGCGACUUUCUGGACUGUAACUGACGCUGAGGCUCGAAAGCCAGGGGAGCGAACGGGAUUAGAUACCCGAGUAGUCC